rnacentral:rRNA from 1 species
UCUUUUUUUUUUAUUGCUUCACGCGACGACGGGGUAUGGGCGAAGAAAUAUUUUAAUUUUAUUGUUUUGGACGGUCGGUGGUCGUUUUAUGCCGUGGUAAAUCGGGGUUUCGCGUUGGGUGAGCUCGUAGGGGUUGAAUCACGGAGAAUGGAGCUGAAGGGGAAGGCAUAAGGAGAAACGGAGUGCAUAACAUGUCGUAUGUGAUCAUACCAGCACUAAAGCACCGGAUCCCAUCAGAACUCCGAAGUUAAGCGUGCUUGGGCGAGAGUAGUACUAGGAUGGGUGACCUCCUGGGAAGUCCUCGUGUUGCAUCCC